AUGAACGCUGGCGGCGUGCCUAAUACCUGCAAGUCGAGCGAACAGACGAGGAGCUUGCUCCUCUGACGUUCGCGGCGGACGGGUGAGUAACACGUGGAUAACCUACCUAUAAGACUGGGAUAACUUCGGGAAACCGGAGCUAAUACCGGAUAAUAUAUUGAACCGCAUGGUUCAAUAGUGAAAGACGGUUUUGCUGUCACUUAUAGAUGGAUCCGCGCCGCAUUAGCUAGUUGGUAAGGUAACGGCUUACCAAGGCAACGAUGCGUAGCCGACCUGAGAGGGUGAUCGGCCACACUGGAACUGAGACACGGUCCAGACUCCUACGGGAGGCAGCAGUAGGGAAUCUUCCGCAAUGGGCGAAAGCCUGACGGAGCAACGCCGCGUGAGUGAUGAAGGUCUUCGGAUCGUAAAACUCUGUUAUUAGGGAAGAACAAAUGUGUAAGUAACUAUGCACGUCUUGACGGUACCUAAUCAGAAAGCCACGGCUAACUACGUG
rnacentral:rRNA from 1 species